UGGGGAGUGGCCAAGUGGUAAGGCACCUGACUCUGGAUCAGGUAAUCGUUGGUUCAAAUCCAGCCUCCCCAG
rnacentral:tRNA from 1 species